rnacentral:lncRNA from 1 species
AAGAGGUAGGGUUGGCUAUCCCAAUUUCAUCUUCAAUUUGACAAAUUUCUUAGUAUGUUUUAUGCUUAAUUUUUUUGGGUUGUGAUUUAUUGGUUUAAUUUUUAGAUUGAAGGAAGGAAUAUGUUUGCAAACCAAUAUUUUUGAAUUGGGAAGGUUACUUACACUAAGGUAAGAAAUACCAAUUCUGGAGAAAACCUAAAAUUUUUAUUUGGAUUUUUGAAUGAGUAUAGUUAACCGGAAUAAUUGUAGAAUGGAAUACUCAUUUGAAGGCAUGAAUUUAUGGAUCAAGAUGGAAAAUUAAAUUGGUUAAAUUAUAAUUAUUAGUUUUACUAGUUUGGAAGAAGGAAUUAUUUUUAUGUUGAAGUGGAGAUUAUUUUGAUGAAUUAGAUUUUGGUGAAAGGACUAGAAGGUAGAUUUAGUUCCAAUUGUGAGCGAAAUUAAAGAAUAUAUCCAAGUGUCGAGAAGUCAAGUUCUAGUAUUUCGUAGUUAAAAGUUAAGGAUAUUUGGUAGAGUGGUUGUUAAAUUGAUUAUCUUGUAUCAUAUUUCAGGAGAUGACGAGAAGAUUGAAAUAAUUAUCAGUCUAUAAGUUAGUGAGUGGAUAUCAAACUCAUUUUUCAGAAAUUAAUAUUUAUUAGAUUUAUGUUAGAAUAAAAAAUUUGUUAUUUCAUACAGUUGAUUUGACAACAUGAUUUUUAGAAUAAAGUGGAUUUAUAAUCAGUUGUUUUUAAAGUUAAAUUUAGUUCAAUUAAAUCAUUUGAUUAGCAAGUUAUAUGAAAAUUAAAUAUUUCAGCAUAUUUAAAGUUAUUUGUAAAAUCACCAAAAAGUGCCUAGAUGAUUUUACCCUAGUCUGCACUUGUGUGAAUAUGUUUACAUAGUGUAUGGCCAGUUAUGGUUAUUUUACCCUAGUCUGUACUGGUGUAAGUGUGUUUCCACAGUGUAUGACUAGUUAUGGUGAUUUUACCCGCUUUGCAAUAUUGUGAAUGUAUUUCCAUAGUGUAUGAUCAGAUUAUCAGAGGUCUUUGUGUAAUGAUCCGGAUCUCUUUACCCAAAUCGUUAGCUUACGUACUGUCCGCUUUGGGUGGACCUUGCAUCCACUUACCCCUCACGGCUUUCUGUCGCGUUCCCCAGGAUUCAAACUCAUAACUUUUCCCUUAAGUAAUGCUUAAAUUGAAUCCUGGUACCAAUUGGGCAAGUGAAGUCUUUCUUAAGGGAAUGUUAUGAGUUCGCAUCCAGAAGACGCGAUAGAAAGCCGUGAGGGUAAGUGAGCGCAAGGCCCACCCAAAGCGAACAGUACGUAAACUAACGGCUUGGAUAAAGAGACCCAGGUCGUUACACAUUGGGACCUACUCUCGUACACGCAUAGGCUUUGGACUGUGUACUAGGGUGAUUAUCCUUGGGGCAGUACUGCAUACGUAUUACCAGAUUAUCAGAUGUGAAUGGCUUUACCUUGUAUAUCGAGAUUACUCUGUACAUGAGUAAGGCUAUUCAUUGAGUACCUUUUUGGUGUGAUUUUCAGUAUUAUACAGUUUAUCAAAUUUCAGACUACAGAAUUUAGCUUAUUUAGUUUGUAGAGUAAUGAUUUCAGCUUAUAGUAUUGUGAAAUGAUAUUUUCACUUAUAUUUACUGAUAUCAGAUUAUUUAUAUUUGUUAUACUUUAUAGCUGUUUAUCUAGAAUUAAGAACAAAGAAUUUUAUGAUGCAAUCAUAUUUAGUUUUAAAAGAGUUACCAGAUUUCAGAAUUUCUUAAAGUUUUAAUAGAGUAAGAAUUUAAAGAAAAUAUUCAUAAACGAGAAAAGUAUACUUAUUUGCAAACCAUCCACUCACUGUGUUAUAAGCUCAUGUUUUGUCACCCUCUUUCUAAGCAGAUAGUAGCAGAGUUGAGUAGCCUUGGAGCCUGUCGAUCUAUCGAAUUGAGCCACACACACUGCCAUUAUUUGUAUGACUCAUUUUGUCAAUCUAUGGAAUUUAUAUAUUUUUUCUUUGGCACACAUGUUUGUUUGUCAGAAAAAUUAAUUAGCAAGUCAUGUGUCCAUAUCUUGGGCUCACUACAAAUUUGGUAUCCUUAAUAUUUUUGGUGUCUUUUGUUUGUAAAGCAUAGUAAAUAUCAACUUGCCAGUAUUCUAUUUUGAAUAGUUUGUAUUUUAAGGGACUAGUGUGUCCUAUUUUAAAUUAUAUGAACGG